CAGUAGCCGCGGUAAUACGAGGGGGGCAAGCGUUGUUCGGAAUUAUUGGGCGUAAAGGGUGCGUAGGCGGUUUGAUAAGUCAUCUGUGAAAUCUCUGGGCUCAACCCAGAGUCUGCAGGCGAAACUGUCGGGCUUGAGUAUGGGAGAGGUGAGUGGAAUUUCCGGUGUAGCGGUGAAAUGCGUAGAUAUCGGAAGGAACACCUGUGGCGAAAGCGGCUCACUGGACCAUAACUGACGCUGAUGCACGAAAGCUAGGGGAGCAAACAGGAUUAGAUACCCGGGUAGUCCCUGUCUCUUAUAC
rnacentral:rRNA from 1 species